rnacentral:rRNA from 1 species
AACGUAGGUGGCGAACGUUAUCCGGAAUUAUUGGGCGUAAAGGGUGCGUAGGCGGCAUAAUAAGUUAUUGGCGGGAAAUCGAGGCUCAACCUCGUGGAAACUGAUAAUACUGUUUUGCUUGAGUACAGGAGAGGUUAACGGAACUCCAUGUGGAGCGGUAAAAUGUGUAGAUAUAUGGAAGAACAUCAAUAACGGCGAAGGCAGUUAACUAUUCUGUUACUGACGUUGAGGCACGAAAGCGUGGGGAGCAAAAAGG